rnacentral:rRNA from 1 species
CACCUACUAGCUAGCCCGCCAACAACAAGCAACAACCAUUAUUAAUACCCCCUAAUGCAUUUAAUUAAACAAAAACAAAUCAUUUUUUCCCCAAGUAUAGGCGAUAGAAAG